GUAGGAGCCAGGACAUAAUCCCCCGUCCUUGCUUCCAAAACAAACCGAGGGUGCCUUUAUUCUCUGUGUUGAUUUCCUUUGAUGAGGUUUUCAGGGCCCGAUGGAUGACUCUUUUCCCUCACCUUGGUCUCUAAUUACUGCCCACACUUGCUUCCAUCUGUUGUGGUUUCUGAGCUAGGAAUGGAAGUGUACUUGGAUGUUUUAUUAUCGCCUUGGAACACGAGCCUAGAAAAGCAAAACAUUCCCUGUAAUUUCCACUCCUUUGAAUUCGUAUUCAGCCUUGGUUUUUGCUGAAGCAGCAUAUGAUGCAAAGAACAGACAAGGUCUGGGCUCCUCCCCAAAGUGCCAGUGACCUCCCUGUCUUACCAGGAGUGAAAUCAAAUGACAAGGCAAGUUUCCACCUUUAAUCAGCCAUCGAUCAGCAAGGAAGUACACACCUACCAUUCACCAUCAAGACACCAAGGGGUGAGAAAGUCUCCCAGAGGUCAAGGCAUUUCCUCUGCCCCCAAGGAGUUGGCCACGCAAACUAUGAAUUCAAACAUCUUCUCCGCACAGACCCAUGUGGCCCAUAAUGAAUAGGGCCGAUUCUCAACCCAGAAGAAGACACACAGGAACAGGGACUGUGUCGCCUGUACGGUGAGAGCUCGACAAACUCAGAGCAGCUGGAGGUCGCUGUGGACUGGAGGGCUCUGAGAAGGUGACCUAGAAGAGGGGCUAUUUGAACUAAAUCUUAAAAACCAAGGAAGAGUUAUUUAGGAGGAAAGAGAGGGAAGAAAUUCAGGGCGCUCCACGCUGUGUAAAAGGAAGGAUGAACCUAGCACUCUGGGGGACCCAUGCUGUGGCCCCUCCUCUACUUAGAACCUCUUCCAGACUCUUUCCUUCCGUUGCUUUAACUGAGUGGGAGAAGACCUACCCCUAAAUCAAGAGAUGGCCCAGACCCCUGAAGGCGAAGCAGCCUCUCAAUCCCAGUCCCCCACGCCAGCCCCAAGGAAGCCAAAGCAGGCAUACUCAGUCACUGAAGUAAAAAUAGCUGGUUACAGCAGCUGAGGCAGUGUGGGCGGAGACUGAGGGAGGGAGACAGCACUGGGAGCCCGAGGCCAGCUGGGGCGGAAGGCGGGACAGUGGGGCAGACCCCAGCCAGGGCUGCUGAAGAAGGCUGAAGGUCGGUGCCAGUGCUGAGGCCCUGACGUGUGGUGGGAGGAGGCCAGGUGGCCGGACAGCUCUGUUUGUCCUGUAGGUGUGGGCAGGGAGGCAACUGGAAGGAAGGAGUCAAGGGCUGAUUUGCCCCAGCCUCUGGGUUCUGUGUGGAGCCUCCAUAGUCCAGUAGAAAGAUUUCUGUUUGAAGUGACAGACUACGCCUUCCCUCCCUCCCACGGCUGCAAAAGAUUUUAUAGUCAAAUAUCUGCUCACAGAGAGAAAAUACCAGGCAGGACGUGUGUGGACUGUAAAUCCAAGAGGGCACGUCUGUGGGCUUGACCAUUAUCUUCCCAUCAAGAGGCAUCAGGAUUUCACUGCCCGGGGAGGUCCCCGCGAAGGUUUUGGAUGAGAAAAUGGAUGCUUGGGAGGAUGGUCGUUUGCCCAAAGCCACAUGGUUGGUAAGUGGAGGAGCUGGGUACAAGCCCAGGUUGGCCCCCAAGCCUGGCUAUGGUGCUGUGGUCCCAGAAAACACUUUUGCCUGGCACCUGUCACUGAAGUGGGGUCACCUGCUAUUUUUACACCUCUUACUAUGCAAAGAGGGUCGAAUCCCGAAGGACUCGCUGGCUCGUUAAAAUGCCGUAUUAGCGGGUGGAGGAGGGGUGUUUACAGAGAAGACGGCAGAGUCCCGUGAUUGAGUCCUGGUACUCGGGUGCCCUCUGAGUUCCCUCGUUCUCUUGCUGCAGGGAAGCAGGAUUAGAAGAGUUAGUUCCAGGGUAAUUUACAGGAAUAGGGAUGGUUUGGUAGAAGCCAGCUCCGAGGUGCCCCAUUCAGCACCGUUAUUCAACAGUGGCAAAA